rnacentral:rRNA from 1 species
UCGGUCCCUAUCUGCUGUGGGCGCAGGAUAUUUGAGGAGAUCAAUCCUUAGUACGAGAGGACCGGGAUUGACGUACCUCUGGUGUACCAGUUAUGUCGCCUGAUGUAUUGCUGGGUAGCUACGUACGGAAAGGAUAAGCGCUGAAGGCAUCUAAGUGCCAAGCCCCCUCCAAGAUAAGAUAUCCCUCCGACUUUGUCGGACUAAAGACCCCUUGAAGACUACAAGGUUGAUAGGUCAGCGGUGUACGCACAGUAAUGUGUUUAGCCUACUGAUACUAAUAGGUCGUGAGGCUUGAUCCU